UGUCCCAGUAGCUCAGCUGGAUAGAGCAACGGCCUUCUAAGCCGUGGGUCAUGGGUUCGAAUCCCUUCUGGGACAU
rnacentral:tRNA from 3 species